rnacentral:rRNA from 1 species
AAUCCAUAGGUUAAUGAGGCGAACCGGGGGAACUGAAACAUCUAAGUACCCCGAGGAAAAGAAAUCAACCGAGAUUCCCCCAGUAGCGGCGAGCGAACGGGGAGGAGCCCAGAGCCUGAAUCAGCAUGUGUGUUAGUGGAAGCGUCUGGAAAGGCGCGCGAUACAGGGUGACAGCCCCGUACACAAAAGCGCAUGUGCUGUGAGCUCGAUGAGUAGGGCGGGACACGUGGUAUC